UUUCAGGUCACUCACAGUCACACGAAGUCAUCUAGCCUCUAUAGAAAAUCCAUCAGCGUAGAUCAGGGUCCUUGGAGGUGCUAGCCUGCAAAGAACUUCGAUGGCUGAUUUCUUCCUUUUUCUUCAAACACCUUGGACACUCCAAAGUAAGAGGAUAUCUAAAGGAGAAAGAGAGGAAGAGGAAGAGAAGCUCUGGAAACAAAAAAACUAGCAAGGGAACCAAUGAUGGGAUGCC
rnacentral:lncRNA from 1 species